rnacentral:piRNA from 1 species
UCACAGACAGCAGAACCCCAGAGC